rnacentral:rRNA from 1 species
GUGUGGCGGAUCAUCCUCUCAGACCCGCUACAGAUCGUCGCCUUGGUAGGCCUUUACCCCACCAACUAGCUAAUCUGACUUAGGCUCAUCUAUUAGCGCAAGGUCCGAAGAUCCCCUGCUUUCCCCCUUAGGACGUAUGCGGUAUUAGCAUUCCUUUCGAAAUGUUGUCCCCCACUAAUAGGCAGAUUCCUAAGCAUUACUCACCCGUCCGCCGCUAAGUGAUAGUGCAAGCACCAUCACUCCGCUCGACUUGCAUGUGUUAAGCCUGCCGCCAGCGUUCAAUCUGAGCCAUGAUCAAAC